rnacentral:rRNA from 1 species
UACAGAGGUCCCAAGCGUUGUUCGGAUUCACUGGGCGUAAAGGGUGCGUAGGUGGUCGGGUAAGUCUGAUGUGAAAUCUCCGAGCUCAACUCGGAAAUGGCAUUGGAUACUAUUUGGCUAGAGGGUUGGAGGGGGGACUGGAAUACUUGGUGUAGCAGUGAAAUGCGUAGAUAUCAAGUGGAACACCAGUGGCGGAGGCGAGUCCCUGGACAAGACCUGACACUGAGGCACGAAAGCCAGGGGAGCAAACAGG